rnacentral:snRNA from 1 species
AGGUCUUUGGGUGAUUUGGGUCUGACAUUAUUCACCCCAUUGACUGCGAGGGUUGAUUUGGAUGAUCUGGCUGGUGUCCCCUUCCUUCCUCACUGCUCCAUGUGCAUUUCUUCCAAAGCUACAUGCUUGGAGGAAGAGAAAGAUCAUCUCAGACAGAAAGAGCGCACCGUUCUUUGCUUAAGAGUACAGUAUAUGAUAGCUGCACUCUUGUCCCAUCCAAGUUCUUCAUUAGGAUGUGAAAUAUUUU